GGGCCGGUAGCUCAGUGGAAGAGCGCAGCGUUCGCAUCGCAGAAGUCGGGGGUCACCCCCCUCGGUCCA
rnacentral:tRNA from 1 species